CACAGCGAUGCUACAACAUUUUACUUUUAAUGAUGCAGAGCAGCUUUGGAGUGCUUUGCAAUCCAGAAAGACACUUCCGCAGACA
rnacentral:tRNA from 1 species